UGGGAGCCACUGACAAAUUCCAUGUGUGUGUGAACUUACCAAGCCAAUAGACCUGAUUCUGCUAUCAUCCAUCCAUCCAUCCAUUUACCCUUCCACAAUUGCAUCCAUGCCUUUACCCAAUGCAUUGUGUGUGUGUGUGUGUGUGUGUGUGUGUGUGUGUGACAUCAUCUGGCGUUGAAUGCACAGUGUGACAGCAGUAAAUGGUUCAUCCAUUUAGCCUGUGGCAGAUCGUCAGCUUGUGGCUGCGGGAGAAUGAUUGUCCUGAACUUGUACGGCCGACUGUGAACAAAGAGUUUUUGAUGACGGAAGGCUGUGAAACGGAGCGGCUCUUUCUGUACCGCCGAGGAAAUGGCCCUCUUUAUUGUGUUAUUACCUCGGUAAAUCACACUAGCUGUAAUUAAGGUGGCUUUCUUCUCAAUAAUGUUCCCUGAGGACAUGAUGUAGCAUUUCAUUUUGUAGCUUGAUAUUGCUCAGGACAUGCUGGAGUGUGUGUGAGUGCACGUUGGUGCCCACACUGUGCAUCUGCACUCUAUGUGUCUGUGUGUGUGACUGUUCCAGAAUGAAGUGUGGAACUGUGUAUGUGUGGAUGGGGCACAUAUGUCCAUGCACAAUGUGUGUGUCUACAGAUGUCCGAAAAAAAUCUGUAGAAAGACAGAAAAAGCCUCAAAACAGAUGGUGUCAUGAUGUUUCCACCAACAAAUGUCCUGUUUAGCUGUUUUUCAGGUUUAUUCUGCUUGUGGGGACCUUUUUUCCCCAAAAUCCACAAUACCAAGGGUCCAACUGUUCCAUCUGGCCCUCUCUGGAGCCUGGAAAUGGGUUUAUGACACAGUAUAGCCUGUACAUCCUAUCAGCGCGCAUCGAUCAGGAAACAGCACCACCUGGUGGACAAAUUAGAAAUGGGGCAGCAGAUUGAGCCCUACAGCUGAUUCUGAAACAAGUCAUCCUGGAAAAGGCUGUUGACCCUCUGGGAGGUAAUGAGUCGACAGCCCUGACCUUCAGUAUCCUACAGAGGCAACAGAGCAGACGCCAGGAACUGUUCCCAGAUCAGGAACCACGAGGAACCAGUGCCAGAUCAGCCCUCACAAAACCCAAUUCUCAGGCCAACAAUCUGUGCCAGGAGCCUGGGCUUCAUCCAGAUCAGCCACUCACAGACUCCUCUCUCACAACAUCAUCAACCUGUGGGGAGAGCUUGUCCCAGAGUAGGAACCCACGUUGUGGGCCGUUCCCCACUAAGUGACUUAAAGAGAUCACUGUUCCCAGAACAGUGGGCCACACAGAGAGUCUUGGCAGGAUCAGUAAUGCAAACAAAGAACAGUAACCAGAACAGAAGCCAAAAGGAGUGAAAAUUUGCAGUGUCCUCUGACCAGAAAAUACGGUUGCAGAGAGACAUGUAUUUAUAAAGGAUUUACACAUUCCUCAUGAUGUGGCCGACCCACCUGCUGAUUCAGCCUGUGGUCAUGUCAACCAUGUCCUUUUGUCGUUUCCUUCUAAUGUGACUUUCUCAUCACUCUGUGAACUGUUAUGAUACCCAGAAAGCUUUUGUGUUUGACCUGCAAAGAAGGAAUGCACAUUGGUGUUUGUUUUUCUGUGUAUGAGAAGUGUAUUUUGGGUAAUAAAUGUCUUCGUAAUAUCAACCAUAGUGGUGAUGACCUUUGUAAAUCCAUAUGUGGAAUAGAGGAGGGCAUAAAUAGGUGGAGAUGGG